UCUAUUUCUCUUAUCUCUUCUCGCUUUCGUACUUUUCUCGUCGGCGAUAGCGUUCUCCGACGAGGAUCCGUUGAUCCGGCAAGUCGUGUCCGAAACCGACGACAGUCAUCUGUUAAACGCCGAACAUCACUUUUCACUUUUCAAGUCAAAGUUCGGAAAGAUCUACGCUUCGGAAGAGGAACAUGACCACAGGUUCAAGGUAUUCAAGGCGAACCUCCGCCGUGCACGGCGUCAUCAGCUCCUUGACCCUUCCGCCGAACACGGUAUUACGAAGUUCUCCGAUCUUACUCCGUCGGAGUUUCGCCGGACUUACCUUGGCCUUCACAAACCAAAACCUAAGCUUAACGCUGAGAAAGCUCCGAUCCUCCCGACUUCCGAUCUUCCAGCUGAUUUUGACUGGCGUGACCACGGCGCCGUCACCGGCG
rnacentral:lncRNA from 1 species